rnacentral:rRNA from 1 species
GGAUGCGAUCAUACCAGCACUAAUGCACCGGAUCCCAUCAGAACUCCGAAGUUAAGCGUGCGGGCGAGAGUAGUACUAGGAUGGGUGCAUGCCCCCACCCACUUUUUAAUUUUUUAUUUUAACGGCAA